UCCAGGGUGCAGGCACGGUGCCCGGGCGACCCUCAGUCUCCCUCCGACACCCCGCAUCCCAACUCCCGCCGCCUUUGCGCCUCAAAGCUGGCAAACAUCCCCAAGCCAGAGCUGGAGUACCUGGAGUGGGUGGGGGUAAGAAGGGAAGCCAAGGUCGUCCCGGAAGGUGUGCGCCCCUCACCUUGCGGACGGUGCGUGCAGCCGCGCCGCACUGGGCAAACCGGCACGUCCAGCUGGCUCCAGAAGUCUCACUCGGAACCAGCUCCUUUUUCUCCUGAGCUGGAUCAGAGCACUGCUUCUCUCAACAUUCGAUUCUGGAGUACGUUGAGCCCAGGGCGUUCUCCCCGCCAGCGUCCUUGCCCGCGCCAGUGCCCGCCGGGGUGCGGCGAGACAGAACCUGGGAGCGCGGCGCGCCGGGCAGCCCGAGGCACCGCUGGUGGCAGGCGCUGCGCUUCGCCGAGUCUGGGCGCCUGGACUGGAAGAGGAGGCGAGAGGGAGAGAGCGGGGAAGAGGAGGAGGAGGAGGAGCAGGAGCAGGAGCAUGGGCAGGGGCAGUCUGCUAAAUCAUCUACGCAGUUCAAAAAGCGAGCCUGUGUGCCCUUCUCCUGCCUUCUGGAGCGCCUCUCAAGGCCAGCAGGGGUUGACUGAUGGAUUAUCAGGGGAAUUUCACUGAACAAGAGAAAGGAAGUGUGUUCCAGGAUGGGCUAAUAGAGCUCCAGGGAAAGCUGGGUUAUGGGAGUGAGUGGACUGCACGUGGGAGGAAGGAAGAACUCAGGGUCAGUAAAGGAGCAGCUUCCUGACCUGGGAGUAUUUGGCAGGGUGAGUACAUGUGGGGUAGACAAAUCACAGAGUUCUUUAAAAUGGGUUUAUUAUUUGUUUUUAUUAAUAAUAUUGUUAGUUUGUAUAGAAACUUAGAAUUUUCAAAGCACUUUCCCUAUCUUCAUAAAAUCUGGCAAUUCCAAAUCAUUUUCUAAAAAUAUACUGUUUAUGAAAUAACAUAUCAG
rnacentral:lncRNA from 1 species